rnacentral:rRNA from 1 species
AUUGAACGCUGGCGGCAGGCCUAACACAUGCAAGUCGAACGGCAGCGGGGGGUAGCUUGCUACCCCGCCGGCGAGUGGCGGACGGGUGAGUAAUGCCUGGGGAGCUGCCCAAUCGAGGGGGAUACCAGUUGGAAACGACUGCUAAUACCGCAUACGCCCUGAGGGGGAAAGGUGGGGAUCUUCGGACCUAUCGCGAUAGGAUGCACCCAGGUGGGAUUAGCUAGUUGGUGAGGUAACGGCUCACCAAGGCGACGAUCUCUAGCUGGUCUGAGAGGAUGACCAGCCACACUGGAACUGAGACACGGUCCAGACUCCUACGGGAGGCAGCAGUGGGGAAUAUUGCACAAUGGGGGAAACCCUGAUGCAGCCAUGCCGCGUGUGUGAAGAAGGCCUUUGGGUUGUAAAGCACUUUCAGCGAGGAGGAAAGGGUGGCAGCUAAUACCUGUCAUCUGUGACGUUACUCGCAGAAGAAGCACCGGCUAACUCCGUGCCAGCCGCCGCCGUAA